rnacentral:rRNA from 1 species
GACGAACGCUGGCGGCGUGCUUAACACAUGCAAGUCGAACGGAAAGGCCCUUUUCGGGGGGUAUUCGCGUGGCGAACGGGUGAGUAACACGCGAGUAACCCGUCCUUGACACUGGGAUAACACCAGGAAAAUGGGGCUAAUACCGGAUAGGAGCUCCUGUUGCACGGUGGGGGGUGGAAAGUUUUGGCGGUUGGGGAUGGACUCGCGGCUUAUAUGCUUGUUGGGGGGGUAGUGGCUUACCAAGGCGUUGACGGGUAGCCGGCCUGGGAGGGGGGCCGGGCACAAUUGGACUUGGGAACGGGCCAGACUCCUACGGGAGGCAACAGGGGGGAAUAUUGCACAAUGGGUGGGGGCCUGAUGCAAGAACGCCGGGGUCGGGAUUGCGGGCUUCGGGUUGGUAACCGCUUUCGCUCAGGACGAAACUUUGUGUGACGGUAGUGGGUAAAGAAGCACCGGCUAACUACGUG